rnacentral:ncRNA from 1 species
UUUAAUCAGGACGACCUGAUUAAAGGAUUUAUUCUCGGGACGACCCG